GUUUCAGAAGGUCAAGAGAUUUGUGUAAUUGAAGCAAUGAAAAUGCAGAACAGUAUGAUUGCUGCUAAAACAGGCAAGGUGAAAGCUGUGCACUGCAAAGCUGGUGACACUGUUGGAGAGGGAGAUCUGCUGGUGGAAAUGGAAUGAAUUUUUUCCAGCUAAGCCUUUAUUAUUUCCAUCCAGAAAGUAAAAUUAAGGCAAUUCAACACAGAGGAUGGGCAGUCCUAUGUGCAAGAUUUUUAUACAGUCAUAUUUAUUGUAUCAGUGGUUAAGAAAGCAAACACAGAUGUUAAACCUUGGCAGCAGAUCCCAGAUUUUUACUUCCAGAAAUACUUGUACAUAACCUUUGUAAUUCUUUGAUUUUUUUUUCAGGAUCAAAUAAAAUCAAUAAAAUACCGUUUCUGCUUUAAAA